AUCACAUCAUCUAAUUUUCUCAUUUUGAUGUGAUUUGAUGGCUCAUGUUUCCAUUACCUUUCUUUUCUUUUUUUUUUCUUUUUUUUUUAAAAAAAUAAAAAUAAAAAUUAGUAAAGAGAAAAUUAUAAAAGAUCCAGAAAAAUAAUUUUGAUAUAUUAAGGUUCCAAGAAAGAUUAUUAGAUAAUGUAAUAAUAUAUAUCAUAU
rnacentral:lncRNA from 1 species